ACCGUGCAAAGGUAGCGCAAUCACUUGUCCUUUAAAUGAGGACCUGUAUGAAAGGCAAGACGAGGGCUUUACUGUCUCUCCUCUCAAGUCAGUGAAAUUGAUCUGCCCGUGCAGAAGCGGGCAUCCAAAUACAAGACGAGAAGACCCUUUGGAGCUUAAGACGCAAGCCAACUAUGUCAAUGGAACCACCAAACUAAAUAGCACUGGCCCCCAGUCUUCGGUUGGGGCGACCGCGGGGGAGAACAAAGCCCCCAUGUGGAAUGAGGACACCUCCUUACAACCAAGAAAAGCCCUUCCAAGUCACAGAACUUCUGACCAAAAGAUCCGGCCACCGCCGACUAACGAACCAAGUUACCCAAGGGAUAACAGCGCAAUCCCCUCCAAGAGUUCCCAUCGACAAGGGGGUUUACGACCUCGAUGUUGGAUCAGGGCCUCCUAAUGG
rnacentral:rRNA from 1 species